rnacentral:rRNA from 1 species
UAGGGAAUCUUCCGCAAUGGGCGAAAGCCUGACGGAGCAACGCCGCGUGAGUGAUGAAGGUCUUCGGAUCGUAAAACUCUGUUAUUAGGGAAGCACAAAUGUGUAAGUAACUAUGCACGUCUUGACGGUACCUAAUCAGAAAGCCACGGCUAACUACGUGCCAGCAGCCGCGGUAAUACGUAGGUGGCAAGCGUUAUCCGGAAUUAUUGGGCGUAAAGCGCGCGUAGGCGGUUUUUUAAGUCUGAUGUGAAAGCCCACGGCUCAACCGUGGAGGGUCAUUGGAAACUGGAAAACUUGAGUGCAGAAGAGGAAAGUGGAAUUCCAUGUGUAACGGUGAAAUGCGCAGAGAUAUGGAGGAACACCAGUGGCGAAGGCGACUUUCUGGUCUGUAACUGACGCUGAUGUGCGAAAGCGUGGGAAUCAAACAGG